AUCCAUCUGACGAGUCCCAAACAGGACGAAACGCGCAUCCUGGAU
rfam:Schistosoma haematobium scaffold1120_27, whole genome shotgun sequence.